AUACGGAGGAUGCGAGCGUUAUCCGGAUUUAUUGGGUUUAAAGGGAGCGUAGGUGGGAUAUUAAGUCAGCUGUGAAAGUUUGGGGCUCAACCUUAAAAUUGCAGUUGAUACUGGUUUCCUUGAGUACGGUAUAGGUGGGCGGAAUUCGUGGUGUAGCGGUGAAAUGCUUAGAUAUCACGAAGAACUCCGAUCGCGAAGGCAGCUCACCGGGCCGGAACUGACACUGAUGCUCGAAAGUGCGGGUAUCAAGCAGGAUUAGAUACCCUGGUAGUCCGCACAGUAAACGAUGAAUACUCGCUGUUUGCGAUACACUGUAAGCGGCCAAGCGAAAGCGUUAAGUAUUCCACCUGGGGAGUACGCCGGCAACGGUGAAACUCAAAUGAAUUGACGGGG
rnacentral:rRNA from 1 species